rnacentral:other from 1 species
UGAUCCCUGCUGUGUUCGUCGAGACUUAUUUGAUGGUGAUCCAAUACCAAAAAUAAGGGCUCCGGAUUUUCUUGAUUGCCGAGGCAAUCAGAAGAGGAGCCUACCUGAAAAUACAACGGUUCAUCCAUCAGGAGUCGACGGCAUAACGCGGGGAUUUU